UCUGCAACCUCAAUCAAUUUGCAAACACAGCAGAGUAAAAGAUUAAAAAGCAUGGUUUGAUUAAAAAAAGUACAAUCACCCUAGUGAAGCAAAACUUGAAGGGAAACCGAAGGCCAGCUCAUCCUUAAAAAAAAAAAAAAACCCCUCCAGUUUAAUUUGACGAUUUAUGGAUCAUAAUUACGUUGCGUUAUAUAGUAAUAACGUCAACUUUUUUUUUUCGGAAAAGAUUAGCAUUGCGAAAUAAAAAAUAGGAUGCUAAAUAAACUAGCAAACUAUGUGUUAGAUUGCAUAAACGAAGAUAUAAUGAGAGAUGCAAAGCGUACUCAAAUUCGUUUACCAUUGUAGUGUACAGACACUGUUUCGCGGUGAGCUAGCAUUCUUCAAUUCAAUCCACCACAUAUCCGAUAUAUACGAAAUGAAUGAAACAGUGAAUCAAUGCAAAUGUGAAUGAUCAAGAUAGAAGGUACAUUUUUUCUUGAAUGUAGAGAAAAAUGUGGGGAAGGUGUAUUUGCUAAAAAGUGGAUGAGUGAGUUUCAGAGCUUUCGUUCGUUGAACGAAGCAAGCCAAAAAAAAUAAAAAAAAGACUCCAAAGAAAAUACGAGGGGAAUGCAAGCAUUUAAAGGAAUAAAUACUUGCGAAUGCGGAAAUCGACUUAUUCUCGGUAUAAACAGACGACGGCACUAAUGGGGUUCCCCUGAAAAUAAGAAGGUUAAAGACCACAAUAUACCAUCGGCUUGGCAGUCAACAAAACAUCCUUGAAAUUUUCAAACUUGAAAACUAAUAAAAGAGGAAAUUAAUUAGAAUCGUAUAGAUUAGGAUAAGCUGAUAAAAUGUAUCUUAUAGAAUAUAUGACAAUUACUCAUUAACAGUAAUUGUAGAGAACUUGGCUAUCAUAAUGCUUUUCCAUACAAUUUGUUUUAAAAAAGUGAAAGGGAAAGGAUUGGAAAAUACAGGUAAUGAAAUAAAUAUAUCAGUACGAUAGACGAGGCAGGGAACAUUAAAUCAUUUGCAUUGAUUUUCCAAAUUUUGAAUGGUGCAAUAACUAAUCGGAUUGGGAACUCGGCGUAAAGUGGUAAACCAGUAAGUGAGAAAGAUGUCUGGAUCCGCAAAUUUUGUAAUCUGUCAAAGGAAGAAGUGGACCCUUUUAGAAUGUGCAGUCUAAUGAAAAUCAUGAUUUCCUACUUAACAUAAGAGAGUAUAUCUUUCCCAUGAAAAAUGAUUCAAAGAGACCACUUGCAAAACUUACCAACCCAAAAGCAAUUUCAGGUCUGGUUUUAGUAGCAGUAUAUAUUGGUUAAAAGGUUUUGAAAGGAAGAUGUAUUUGUAUUUCCUGAAUCAUAUGCAUGGAUUCAUUAAGACAUGCAUACUAUCAAGGAGGAAAAAGGAUGCUGUAAGACAUAAUUAACUAUGGGUCACUAUCGUAAUGGGAUAGAUGGUUUUCGGGGAUUAAAAGCAUGUAAUUAAUUUUCCUACUCUGCUGAUAAUCAAUUCCCAAUACCAUAUAUGAAUUUCGAAAUCCUUUGGUUUACUUUCAAUCAUCUGCCUAACUUAACAUCGAAAAUUCGGAUCUCAUCAACCGCAAUUAACUUCUGCUACCUUUUUUGCCCAUCUGUCCAACCUGCCUAAAUGUAUUUUUUUUUUAUUUGCCUAAUUGCGUUCUCUAUAUACACUCGCUAUAUGCUCUACUGUAGUAGGUCCACGUACGCUAUUAAUUAAGUUUCCACACUUGCUUGCAAUUGAAUAGGUUAUUUCUCAGCACACAACUCACAAA